CAGUCGCCGCGGUAAUACGUAGGGUGUGAGCGUUAAUCGGAAUUACUGGGCGUAAAGCGUGCGCAGGCGGUUUUGUAAGACAGGCGUGAAAUCUCCGGGCUCAACCUGGGAAUGGCGCUUGUGACUGCAAAGCUAGAGUGCGGCAGAGGGGGAUGGAAUUCCGCGUGUAGCAGUGAAAUGCGUAGAUAUGCGGAGGAACACCGAUGGCGAAGGCAAUCCCCUGGGCCUGCACUGACGCUCAUGCACGAAAGCGUGGGGAGCAAACAGGAUUAGAUACCCGCGUAGUCCCUGUCUCUUAUAA
rnacentral:rRNA from 1 species